ensembl:misc_RNA 7SK 7SK RNA
GGGUGGGAGGGUAGCUGACUGUAGUAUCUGUCACCCCAUUGCUCACCAGAGUUGAUUCAGUUGAUCUGGCUGGCUACAUGGGUGUCUCUUCCUCCCUCACCACUCCACGUGUGUCCCUCCCAAAGCUGCAUGCACCCAAUAGAUGAGGACCAUUCUUUGGUCAAGGAUAUAUGAGUAGCUGUGCUCCCCUGUUAACAAACAAGCUCUCCACGCCAAACAAAGUCCAAAGGAUGCAUAUUACUAAUAAUAAACAUAAGGUCUGUGUUAAUCCAGUCAGUUUGACAUUUCU